rnacentral:rRNA from 1 species
GAUGAACGCUGGCGGCGUGCCUAAUACAUGCAAGUCGAGCGAACGGACGAGAAGCUUGCUUCUCUGAUGUUAGCGGCGGACGGGUGAGUAACACGUGGAUAACCUACCUAUAAGACUGGGAUAACUUCGGGAAACCGGAGCUAAUACCGGAUGAUAUUUUGAACCGCAUGGUUCAAAAGUGAAAGACGGUCUUGCUGUCACUUAUAGAUGGAUCCGCGCUGCAUUAGCUAGUUGGUAAGGUAAUGGCUUACCAAGGCAACGAUACAUAGCCGACCUGAGAGGGUGAUCGGCCACCCUGGAACUGAGACACGGUCCAGACUCCUACGGGAGGCAGCAGUAGGGAAUCUUCCGCAAAGGGCGAAAGCCUGACGGAGCAACGCCGCGUGAGUGAUGAAGGUCUUCGGAUCGUAAAACUCUGUUAUUAGGGAAGAACAUAUGUGUAAGUAACUGUGCACAUCUUGACGGUACCUAAUCAGAAAGCCACGGCUAACUACGUG